rnacentral:rRNA from 1 species
UGGGGAAUUUUCCGCAAUGGGCGCAAGCCUGACGGAGCAACGCCGCGUGAGGGAGGAAGGCCUGUGGGUUGUAAACCUCUUUUCUCAAGGAAGAAGAACUGACGGUACUUGAGGAAUCAGCAUCGGCUAACUCCGUGCCAGCAGCCGCGGUAAUACGGAGGGGGUUAGCGUUGUUCGGAAUUACUGGGCGUAAAGCGCACGUAGGCGGACUAUUAAGUCAGGGGUGAAAUCCCGGGGCUCAACCCCGGAACUGCCUUUGAUACUGGUAGUCUUGAGUUCGAGAGAGGUGAGUGGAAUUCCGAGUGUAGAGGUGAAAUUCGUAGAUAUUCGGAGGAACACCAGUGGCGAAGGCGGCUCACUGGCUCGAUACUGACGCUGAGGUGCGAAAGCGUGGGGAGCAAACAGGAUUAGAUACCCCCGUAGUCC